rnacentral:snRNA from 1 species
AGACACUGGUAGGGGAGACACCAUGAUCAAUCAGGUGGUUUUCCCAGGGCAGGUGGUUGUCUCUGAUAUGUCCUCCAUCGGAAGUCCUAUAUUGCGCAGAUUCUUUUUGGUGUUGGGUGGUGGAACAGGAGCUUGUUCCAUCCACUC